GACGAACGCUGGCGGCGUGCCUAAUACAUGCAAGUAGAACGUUGAAGGAGGAGCUUGCUUCUCUGGAUGAGUUGCGAACGGGUGAGUAACGCGUAGGUAACCUGCCUGGUAGCGGGGGAUAACUAUUGGAAACGAUAGCUAAUACCGCAUAAUAGUAGAUGUUGCAUGACAUUUGCUUAAAAGGUGCAAUUGCAUCACUACCAGAUGGACCUGCGUUGUAUUAGCUAGUUGGUGAGGUAACGGCUCACCAAGGCGACGAUACAUAGCCGACCUGAGAGGGUGAUCGGCCACACUGGGACUGAGACACGGCCCAGACUCCUACGGGAGGCAGCAGUAGGGAAUCUUCGGCAAUGGACGGAAGUCUGACCGAGCAACGCCGCGUGAGUGAAGAAGGUUUUCGGAUCGUAAAGCUCUGUUGUAAGAGAAGAACGAGUGUGAGAGUGGAAAGUUCACACUGUGACGGUAUCUUACCAGAAAGGGACGGCUAACUACGUG
rnacentral:rRNA from 1 species